CCUACGGGAGGCAGCAGUGAGGAAUAUUGGUCAAUGGGCGCAAGCCUGAACCAGCCAUGCCGCGUGCAGGAUGAAGCAUCUAUGGUGUGUAAACUGCUUUUGUACGGGAAGAAACCCUGCCACGUGUGGCAGAUUGACGGUACCGUAAGAAUAAGGAUCGGCUAACUCCGUGCCAGCAGCCGCGGUAAUACGGAGGAUCCAAGCGUUAUCCGGAAUCAUUGGGUUUAAAGGGUCCGUAGGCGGUUUUAUAAGUCAGUGGUGAAAUCCGGCAGCUCAACUGUCGAACUGCCAUUGAUACUGUAGGACUUGAAUUAUUGUGAAGUAACUAGAAUAUGUAGUGUAGCGGUGAAAUGCUUAGAUAUUACAUGGAAUACCCAUUGCGAAGGCAGGUUACUAACAAUAUAUUGACGCUGAUGGACGAAAGCGUGGGGAGCGAACAGGAUUAGAUACCCUGUAGUCCACGCCGUAAACGAUGGAUACUAGCUGUUGGUUGUAGACUGAGUGGCUAAGCGAAAGUGAUAAGGGUAUCCACCUGGGAGUACGGGCGCGAAGCCUGAAACGUCAAAGGAAUUGACGGCGNGAGAGNGCGAGGACGACGACGAGGGAGGAGG
rnacentral:rRNA from 1 species